AGAGUUUGAUCAUGGCUCAGAACGUACGCUGGCGGCACGCCUAACACAUGCAAGUCGAACGAAGUAGCAAUACUUAGUGGCAGACGGGUGAGUAACAUGUGGGUAUCUACCCUUUGGCCUGGAAUAACACGAGGAAACUUGUGCUAAUACCGGAUAAGUCUUUACGGAGAAAGCUUUAUGCACCAUUGGAUGAGCCCGCACUUGAUUAGUUUGUUGGUAGGGUAAUGGCCUACCAAGACUAUGAUCAAUAGCUGAUUUGAGAGGAUGAUCAGCCACAUUGGGACUGAGACACGGCCCAAACUCCUACGGGAGGCAGCAGUGGGGAAUCUUGCACAAUGGAGGAAACUCUGAUGCAGCGAUGCCGCGUGAGUGAAGAAGGCCUUUGGGUUGUAAAGCUCUUUCGUCGGGGAAGAAAAUGACUGUACCCGAAUAAGAAGGUCCGGCUAACUUCGUGCCAGCAGCCGCGGUAAUACGAAGGGACCUAGCGUAGUUCGGAAUUACUGGGCUUAAAGAGUUCGUAGGUGGUUGAAAAAGUUGGUGGUGAAAUCCCAGAGCUUAACUCUGGAACUGCCAUCAAAACUUUUCAGCUAGAGUAUGAUAGAGGAAAGCAGAAUUUCUAGUGUAGAGGUGAAAUUCGUAGAUAUUAGAAAGAAUACCAAUUGCGAAGGCAGCUUUCUGGAUCAUUACUGACACUGAGGAACGAAAGCAUGGGUAGCGAAGAGGAUUAGAUACCCUCGAAGUCCAUGCCGUAAACGAUG
rnacentral:rRNA from 1 species